rnacentral:lncRNA from 1 species
CUCCCCCGCCCCCGCCCCCCGCUCUGCCGCGGGCCCCCGCCCGCCGCGGGCCGAGAGCUCGGCGCGCUCGACCCCGGGUCCCGCCUCCCCGAGGUUUUCGCUUUCGCUUUCCCGCUGAUGUCGUUGGGGAAAAUUAAGCUGCCGAGGCCAGGCUGGCGCAGAAGCCGUUCCUGGCGAGGGGCGCAGAGCACGGCRGCGGCGGCGGCCGGCCUGGAACCCGGGUCCCGCUGCCCGCGCCGGGCGAGGCAGACAAAGGCGAGGAAACAGUGA